AUGAGAACUCUGCUCCAAGCUAAAGGCGGUGGUCGCGGUGGCGGUGGCGGUGGCGGUGGCGGUGCCGCCGACGCGGCUGCCGAUGCAGUAGACACCGUGACAGGCACCAUCACGCCGCCGCCCUCCUCGACCGACGAUUCGCCGCCGCCUCCUGCUUCCGACUCCUCUUCCGACCCUCCUCCUUCUCCCUCGUCCUCCUCUUCUCCACCGCCGCCUACCCCAUCAUCUCCCUCGGACCCACCACCGGCUCCGUCUUCGCCCCCGCCAUCACCGCCACUCGCACCGCCUCCUUCGCCCGCGGCGUCUUCUCCCCCUCCGCCAGAGGCAUUGCCGCCUCCUCCGCCGGUGGCAUCCCCUCCACCUCCACCUGAUGCAUUGCCUCCUCCGCCGCCCUCCCCGGUCUCUGCUGCCCCGCCUCCGGCAGACGCCGCACCGCCCCCACCUGAUAAUACUCCGCCGCCACCGGAUAACGCGGCCGCGCCCCCACCUUCUUCCACUCAGGCGCCUCCACCAUCGCAAUCGCAGGCCAAGCCGCCUUCUUCCAAAGCGUCGCCUCCGCCUGCCGCCGAGGAGCCAACAGCGUCUCCAGUGGUGGACGCCACGCCGCCACCAAAGAAAUCCGCCGUGGAUUAUGCCCCGCCUCCAUCAGCGCGGACGAGCUCAUCUGCCACGGCGCACUCACCUCCUGCCUCAGCAGUAACACCGCCCACGGCUGAUAGAAGCGUAACGGCACCGGCACCGCCAAGCACUGGCGGCAUGAGCUCCGGCGCCACGGCGGGCGUGGCAGUCGUGGCCGUGAUCGCCUUCCUCUGCUUCGCGGGCGUGUUCGUCUGCCUGACGAAGCGGCGGAAGCGGAAGUACUCGGACCAGUACUACCCGGGCUUCGCCGCGCCGCCGUACACGCCGCAGCACAUGUCCGGCGAGGCGCCGUUCCUGCGGGUGCCGUCCGCGCCGGGGUCGGGGAACUUCAGCCAGCCGGGAAUGUCCGCGAUGAUGAGCCAGUCGUACGGGAACCAACAGCAGCAGCAGCAGUACCAGUACCAGCAGCAGCCGCCGCCGCCGCAGUUCGCGUCGGCGAACUACAGCAGCACGAUGGGGAGCCAGGGGCCGGCUCGGAGCGUGGCGACGUCGGGCGACCUCAGCGUGGGCAACAGCAAGUCGUUCUCGUUCGACGAGCUGUACGAGAUCACGGGCGGGUUCUCGCGCGACAAGCUGCUCGGGGAGGGCGGGUUCGGGUGCGUGUUCAAGGGCACGCUCGGCGACGGCCGGGAGGUGGCCGUGAAGCAGCUCAAGGGCGGCGGCGGGCAGGGCGAGCGCGAGUUCCAGGCGGAGGUGGAGAUCAUCAGCCGCGUCCACCACCGCCACCUCGUCUCCCUCGUCGGCUACUGCAUCUCCGAGGACCACCGCCUCCUCGUCUACGACUUCGUCGCCAACGACACCAUGCACCACAACCUCCACGGGAGGGGAAGGCCGGUGAUGGACUGGCCGACGAGGGUGAAGAUCGCGGCGGGAUCGGCGCGGGGGUUGGCCUACCUGCACGAAGAUUGUCAUCCAAGGAUCAUCCACAGGGACAUCAAGUCAUCCAACAUCCUGCUCGAUGACAACUUCGAAGCUCAGGUCGCAGAUUUCGGGCUCGCCAGGCUCGCGGAGAACGACGUGACGCACGUCUCGACGCGCGUGAUGGGCACAUUCGGGUACUUGGCGCCGGAGUACGCUUCGACCGGGAAGCUGACGGAGAAGUCGGACGUGUUCUCCUUCGGCGUGGUGCUGCUGGAGCUCAUCACCGGCCGCAAGCCCGUCGACUCGUCCCGCCCCCUCGGCGACGAGAGCCUCGUAGAGUGGUCGAGGCCGCUGCUGAACCGCGCGAUCGACGAGCAGGAGUUCGAGGAGCUGGUGGACCCUCGCCUCGACGGCAACUACGACGACGUCGAGAUGUUCCGCGUCAUCGAGGCGGCGGCGGCGUGCAUCCGGCACUCGGCCGCCAGGAGGCCCAAGAUGGGGCAGGUCGUUAGGAUCCUGGACAGCCUGACCCUGAACGACGUGGACCUGACCAACGGCGUGCAGCCCGGGAAGAGCCAGAUGUUCAACGCCGCCAACACGGCGGACAUCAGGCAGUUCCAGCGGAUGGCGUUCGGCAGCCAGGACUUCAGCUCCUCCGAGUACACCCAGUCCAAGGCCAGCCUGAGCGGCAGGAGGGAUCUGUAG
rnacentral:rRNA from 1 species